rnacentral:rRNA from 1 species
UACGUAGGGUGCGAGCGUUGUCCGGAAUUAUUGGGCGUAAAGAGCUUGUAGGCGGUUUGUCGCGUCUGCUGUGAAAUCUCAAGGCUCAACCUUGAGCUUGCAGUGGGUACGGGCAGACUAGAGUGUGGUAGGGGAGACUGGAAUUCCUGGUGUAGCGGUGAAAUGCGCAGAUAUCAGGAGGAACACCGAUGGCGAAGGCAGGUCUCUGGG